CUGGGACUGAAGACUGGGUCCAGGUCAGGACCCCUUAGAGACCUGGGACUGGAGACUGGGUCCAGGUCAGGGGUCAGGACCCCUCAGAGAGCUGGGACUGAAGACUGGGUCCAGGUCAGGGGUCAGGACCCCUCAGAGAGCUGCUGGGACCCAAGGGGCUGGAGGGACAUUCCAGGUGUGUUGCUAGGACAACCAACAGAAAGCUCUGGAGAAACAUCUGCUCAGCUUGAAAGAGUUAAACUGAAGAAAGGGGAAGAACCAUCGGCUGAACACACGAGAACCUUCAGUUGGAUCCACUGAGUUGUUUAUUACAAUUAUGCUUCAUUAACAAAUACAACAGAAGAAUAGUCCCUUACAUGUACACAAUAAAUACAAGGACUAAAAUCGUAGAAGAAGCAGGCUUUACAAAUCAUCAACAGGUGUGCACGUAUCUUUAAUAACUGAACAUGUUCUGCCGCCGUUUGCUUCCCAAGAGAACAAAAGGAAUAAAUAUUCAGUAUAAAGUAAUUUACAGUAUGCAACAUUAUCCCAUAGACCUCUUGGUUACAUGAAUAAAAUAUAAAAUCUG